CCUACGGGGGGCAGCAGUGGGGAAUAUUGGACAAUGGGCGAAAGCCUGAUCCAGCCAUGCCGCGUGUGUGAAGAAGGCCUUCGGGUUGUAAAGCACUUUCAGUGGGGAAGAAAGCCUUGGGGCUAAUACCCUCGAGGAAGGACAUCACCCACAGAAGAAGCACCGGCUAACUCCGUGCCAGCAGCCGCGGUAAUACGGAGGGUGCGAGCGUUAAUCGGAAUUACUGGGCGUAAAGCGCGCGUAGGCGGUCUGAUAAGCCGGUUGUGAAAGCCCCGGGCUCAACCUGGGAACGGCAUCCGGAACUGUCAGGCUAGAGUGCAGGAGAGGAAGGUAGAAUUCCCGGUGCAGCGGUGAAAUGCGUAGAGAUCGGGAGGAAUACCAGUGGCGAAGGCGGCCUUCUGGACUGACACUGACGCUGAGGUGCGAAAGCGUGGGUAGCAAACAGGAUUAGAUACCCCAGUAGUC
rnacentral:rRNA from 1 species